CAACUAAAUAAGAGAUAAAGAAAGCAUUGCAUGAGAGCACGAUGAUUUUAUGAUUGAUUAAUGAUGUAUUUAUAUGAUGAUUUGUGAUAUGAUUUAUGUGGAUUUUAUCAUAGACGUAUUAGUAUGCAUAUGGGGUUGUAUGGGCAAGUCCAUAUGUAUAUUUUUACGGCUAGUUGCAUAUGAUGAUUUAUUGAUCUUCCUUAUAGACAUAUGUGAUUGUAUGCUUACGAGUUCGCCACGGGCAAGAACCGAUGUAUACUUUUAUGUCUAAACAUAUGUGAUUGUAUGCUUACGAGUUCGCUACGUGCAAGAACCUAUGUAUACUUUUAUGUCUAGCUGCAU
rnacentral:lncRNA from 1 species